rnacentral:lncRNA from 10 species
CGGGAGGGGCUGCGUGUGCGCGGAGGCGGGCUGUGGCCCGUGGCCGCCGCCGGAGCCUUUCGCUUGCGGUGAUUUUGGGCUCCCUCGGUUGGCAGUGUUGAUGUGUGCCUGUGAGUUGUGAGCGAGGCAGAUUUCCUCGCGUGGCCGGCACGACCUUCACCUUUGCAGAAGGCAACCGGGACCCUCAGUUGAUUCCAGUUCAAAAGUUGCUGUGGUCCUGGAAAUGAGGAUUCUGGGCAAAACAAGAAAUUGGGUGAAUGUCUCUCUGUCACUCAGGCUGGAGUACAGUGGUGUGAUCUUGGCUUACUGCAACCUCGGCCUCCUGGGUUCAAACAAUUCUCCUGCCUCAGCCUCCUGAGUAGCUGGAAUUACAGGCACGCACCACCACGCCUGGAUAAUUUUCAUGUUUUUAGUAGAGACAGGGUUUCACCGUGUUGGCCAGGCUGGUCUCGGA